GGGUUGUGAGGUUAAGCGACUAAGCGUACACGGUGGAUGCCCUGGCAGUCAGAGGCGAUGAAGGGCGUGCUAAUCUGCGAUAAGCGCCGGUAAGGUGAUAUGAACCGUUAUAACCGGCGAUACCCGAAUGGGGAAACCCAGUGUGACUCGUCACACUAUCAUUAACUGAAUCCAUAGGUUAAUGAGGCGAACCGGGGGAACUGAAACAUCUAAGUACCCCGAGGAAAAGAAAUCAACCUAGAUUCCCCCAGUAGCGGCGAGCGAACGGGGAGGAGCCCAGAGCCUGAAUCAGCAUGUGUGUUAGUGGAAGCGUCUGGAAAGGCGCGCGAUACAGGGUGACAGCCCCGUACACAAAAGCGCAUGUGCUGUGAGCUCGAUGAGUAGGGCGGGACACGUGGUAUCCUGUCUGAAUAUGGGGGGACCAUCCUCCAAGGCUAAAUACUCCUGACUGACCGAUAGUGAACCAGUACCGUGAGGGAAAGGCGAAAAGAACCCCGGCGAGGGGAGUGAAAAAGAACCUGAAACCGUGUACGUACAAGCAGUGGGAGCCCCACCACUAAGCCAGUGGUGAACUCCACAUACGCAUCCUUUGCUGAGGAUACGGUUAACGGAGCGAAAGCGACGUUCAACCUCAAAAGAAGCAGAGGGGGCUUAGUGGUGGGGUGACUGCGUACCUUUUGUAUAAUGGGUCAGCGACUUAUAUUCUGUAGCAAGGUUAACCGAAUAGGGGAGCCGGAGG
rnacentral:rRNA from 1 species